UUUCCGUAGGUGAACCUGCGGAAGGAUCAUUACUAAGUGAGAGCCCUCUGGGUCCAACCUCCCACCCGUGUUUAUUGUACCUUGUUGCUUCGGUGAGCCCGCCUCACGGCCGCCUGUGGGCAUCUGCCCCCUGGCCCGCGCUCGCCGAAGACACCCUUGAUCUCUGUCUUAAGUUUGCAGUCUGAGCGAAAACUAAAUAAGUUAAAACUUUCAACAACGGAUCUCUUGGUUCCG
rnacentral:misc_RNA from 1 species